CGUAGGAACGUAUCCAGAGGUGGGGGACAACCCCGGGAAACUGGGGCUAAUACCGCAUAUGGGCUGAGGCCCAAAGCAGUGAUGCGCCUUUGGAGCGGCCUGCGUCCGAUUAGGUAGUUGGUGGGGUAAUGGCCUACCAAGCCUGCGAUCGGUAGCUGGUCUGAGAGGAUGAUCAGCCACACUGGGACUGAGACACGGCCCAGACUCCUACGGGAGGCAGCAGUGGGGAAUAUUGGACAAUGGGCGCAAGCCUGAUCCAGCAAUGCCGCGUGGGUGAAGAAGGUCUUCGGAUCGUAAAGCCCUUUCGACAGGGACGAUGAUGACGGUACCUGUAGAAGAAGCCCCGGCUAACUUCGUGCCAGCAGCCGCGGUAAUACGAAGGGGGCUAGCGUUACUCGGAAUUACUGGGCGUAAAGGGCGCGUAGGCGGCUUGGCCAGUCAGGCGUGAAAUUCCUGGGCUUAACCUGGGGACUGCGCUUGAUACUGCUGGGCUUGAGGCCGAGAGAGGGUGGUGGAAUUCCCAGUGUAGAGGUGAAAUUCGUAGAUAUUGGGAAGAACACCGGUGGCGAAGGCGACCACCUGGCUCGGUACUGACGCUGAGGCGCGACAGCGUGGGGAGCAAGCAGGAUUAGAUACCCUGGUAGUCCACGCCGU
rnacentral:rRNA from 1 species